UACGUAGGGGGCAAGCGUUGUCCGGAAUCAUUGGGCGUAAAGAGCGUGUAGGCGGCCCGAUAAGUCCGCCGUGAAAGUCCAGGGCUCAACCCUGGAAUGCCGGUGGAAACUGUCGGGCUGGAGUCCGGAAGAGGCGAGUGGAAUUCCUGGUGUAGCGGUGAAAUGCGCAGAUAUCAGGAGGAACACCGAUGGCGAAGGCAGGUCUCUGGGCCAUAACUGACGCUGGAGAAGCGGAAAGCCAUGGGGAGCGAACAGG
rnacentral:rRNA from 1 species